rnacentral:rRNA from 3 species
GUCCCACCUGACCCCAUGCCGAACUCAGAAGUGAAACGCCGUAGCGCCGAUGGUAGUGUGGGGUUUCCCCAUGCGAGAGUAGGGAACUGCCAGGC